rnacentral:rRNA from 1 species
CUGGCUCAGAACGAACGCUGGCGGCGCGUCUUAAGCAUGCAAGUCGGACGGCAAGGAAGGAGCUUGCUCCUUCCCUAGAGUGGCGGACUGGUGAGGAACGCGUGGGUGACGUACCCUCCGGACGGGGAUAGCCGGUAGAAAUACCGGGUAAUACCGGAUAAGAGCGCCUCCUUGGAGGGGGGCGGAGAAAGCGGCUUCGGCCGCGCCGGAGGAACGGCCCGCGUGCUAUUAGCUGGUUGGCGGGGUAACGGCCCACCAAGGCGACGAUAGCUAUCCGGCCUGAGAGGGUGAACGGACACAUUGGGACUGAGAUACGGCCCAGACUCCUACGGGAGGCAGCAGCUAAGAAUAUUCCGCAAUGGGGGAAACCCUGACGGAGCGACGCCGCGUGGAUGAUGAAGGCCGGAAGGUUGUAAAGUCCUUUUGGGCGCAAAGAAUAAGUACGCGAGGAAAUGCGCGUGCGGUGACGGUAGCGCCUGAAUAAGCAACGGCUAAUUACGUGCCAGCAGCCGCGGUAACACGUAAGUUGCGAGCGUUGUUCGGAAUUAUUGGGCGUAAAGGGCAUGUAGGCGGUCGUGCAAGCUUGGUGUGAAAUCCCGGGGCU